rnacentral:lncRNA from 1 species
UUAAGUGCUUUCAGUUUUGUCUAACUUAUGCAAGUUUUUAGAUUUCACCUCCAACCAAUGCUUCACUUCAGGAAAUCUCACUGCAGUGAUUAGGAUCUCCCGGGCCAAAGUAGUUGAGACAUCUCAAGACACCGAGCUAUACCUAGUCUUGUCAGGGAAGUAGGGAGGAGAGGAGAAAAUAUUAUCAUCUACCAAUACAAAAAGUCUGAAACGCAGCCCAGCUUCAGUGAGGCAUCCUUCACCUCUGCAGCAGACGGCCACUGGGUCCUGCCCCUGCAUCCCUCCUGUCUCCGUAUCUUCUUUUGUUGCUGCCAAUUGAAUGGCCCUCUGCUCCUACUAGUUCUGCUGUCUGAGGUUUCUUCUCAUACACACUCUCUCUCUCCCUGUGAGUCAUCUGGCAUGGGCUAUUCCAAUGUCUGCAUCCCUGUGAGUCUCAUUUUCCAAAUCCAGAAGAAAGAGGGUUUAACUGAGUCAAUAUGGUGCCAUAUGGAGCGACCCUGCUGGGCAGGACUGUGGCGACAUGCCACUGUACAGAAAACCUAAAGACAGCUGCUUUGGGGCAGGCUCAGACCCACAGCCCCAUCAUUUGUGGCAAGAGCAUGUAAAAAUAAAAAUCUUUGUUGACUUUCAGUAGUCAACGUAUUCAUUGAUACUUCUAGAUGUUUGCAUGAGCUGUGACUUCUGUGGAUAUGGGCAUGGAGGGAAUACCUAAUUAUAUGGAACACUUUGUAAGUAAUGCCAGAAAGACAGAAGCGAGGCAAAGAGCAACCAUCUCAUGAACAAAAUUUGGGAUCUUGCAAGAAUAUUAGAACUCUUUCAGGGGCAUUUUGCAUUUCACGAAUACAGACCUGUGAGCAAGCAGAACAAGAGUUUGUCAUAUGGGCCAUCUACAAAUGGUUCCUUUUAGAAUGUCCACUGAUCAGCAGUUCAGAGGAGGAGUUUCUCUACCCCAAUGACCAGGGCAGUCCCUCAUGUGAAGUCAGCGUAUAAACAUUCAGCAGGUUCAGGAUGUGUUGGACCACCCAGGUUCUCCCACCCUCCCAGGCUGGCUGCCUGUGCUGGCUGUUCCUGUGCUGGCUGGGGUUCUGGGACUAGGACCCAAAGAUGCUUCAAGAUUUCUGACUUUACCACCAAGGCAACUGACUGCAUCAUUAUCUACAUCUGUAGAUAUUAGGUGAGUGAGAGAAGAGGUGAUUUGAGAACAUUUUCCAGAUCUUGUUUUAAAUCUCUGUGGCCUUGGGAAUCUUAUUUAACCUUCACCUUCCUGUCCAUAAAAAAUGAGAUGGAGACAUGCAUAUAAUGUGUACAUGGAUUCCAGUGGAGAUUGGUAAGAGCAAUCACUUAUCAAUAAAAUGGCCAAUGAGGGAAAUUUGGCAAGGGGAGACUUCGGUUUUAGUAAUGAUAGAAAGCAAAUGAGAUCAUCAUGAGAGCCUGACAAAUCCCUUCAAUUUAACCCAUGAUUCCAUGUAGCUCUUUAUCUUUAAACAAGAUAUAGCUAAAACUGUGACUUUCACAGAGUUACUCAGGGGCUAAUAUUAUUGUGUGGGUCACUCAAUUUCCUUCCUUGGGUAGUAAAUACUUGUACUUUUAUGGUGUGGACUUUUGCUGGUUGUAAUGAGUUUCCCCAUGUUCUUCUGGGCUGAGAGCAGCCAUGGCAGCCACUCAUGACUCAACUUCCUGUGCACCUGGUUUUAAGUCUGGUGUCCAGGGCAGGUGGCCCAGGGAAAUAGCAUCCCCUUCAUGAGAUCAGACUGGCUUCUCCCUACCUUGCUGGGUAAGUGCCAAGGCCCUGCUCAGCCACGGCAGCAUGUGACAUGCUGAGCCCAGUCUGCCCUAUGCUCACAGAGGGCAGCUCUUAACUAGAUGAGCCAAGCUCACAAUCUCAUCUCUCAGCUGCACUUGGCUUACAAACGGGCCUUCUCACAUCAGAGACAAAAGGCUCCCACCAGGCGCACUGGGCCAGCUGCUCUCAUUCUGAAAACAGAGAGGAAGGGUGUCUUUUCCAGCCCCAGCAAGGUAGGUAAGCACUCUGCUGGGAGACUUAGUAGGUCUGAGUGCCCAAGCAGCAGUAAGAGCUAACCACUGGGACUCAUAGCCGAGAUCACUCCAAGAGGGAAACCAAAUAGUCUAGAAGACUCAACUGUCAUGCGGCUCGAGGGAACAGGCCAAAGCCUACUUACAACAACCUGGGCAUUCACAUCCAAAAUAUAUGCAUAAUGUUAAUAAGUAACUAAAAGAAUUUGUGUGCUAUUAAACUUUUUGUCAUGCUCCUUUGGGUAAAAUCAAGAUCAGAGAGAGAAAUCUGAAUGGGCUUGAUAGAUACAGAUGGGAUCAGCCUGGGAUUUGGCAGAAUGUUGGUAAGAUCGGUUGCCUGCAAUGCAUUGAAUAUGCUCAGUUAUGGAGUGGAACUGCCUUAUUUCAGAAUUACAUGAUGCUUGAGGGCUCACAAUUAUCUGAAAGAAAAAACCCCAGGAAUAAGAUGUCAACAACUUCAUUUUUGUAGCCUAUAUUGAUGACUGUGAAAAACUCUUUGGCAUCAAUAAAACUUGAGUGAUUGCCUUUUCCAAUUGUCCCAAAUGAGAAGCAGACCCAAACAGGCACAUUUCUGCCAAGGGAGAGUUCUCUUAAUUAUCCCUGAACCUCAUUUGCUAUAGGUUUAGUAAACAACCAGAGCCCUUCCUCUCUCUCCAUGGCUCCAUGUACACACACAUGCUCACGUGAACAUGCAUCUGCACACACUUGUAUAAAAUAAACGCCUAUGAAGAUAAACUAGUGGGGCCAGGCUGACUGGGAAAAAAAAUGACCAGUGGAUUUGCUAGGUAAAAAUAUGGGCAGUGCACAGGACAGAUAUAAGAUCUUUGCCAAAAGCUUUAUCACAUGGGGCCAGUUUGCUAAGAGGUCUUUCAGCCUUUGUGUUUGGAUAAAUGAGGGUUUAAAUUACUCAAAGUGACUUGCCUUCUAAAACCACACAGAAUUCUUCUUUUUGCAAAAAAACCUCAAGACUCCUAAAUCUCUAGAAGUAAAAAAGCCAUGUCCCUUGGGACUAAAAUAGAAAGAAAAGGAGGCAGCAGCCAAGAACAUUAUUUCCAUUGUACAGGGGACCGCCUCCCUGUUCACAUCCCUGUUGUGAUUUGUAAAGAGGGCUAAGGGUCCGGCUUACCCCACCAAGAUUAAAAACUUGAGGCUAAGAGGUGGCUGCCUGGAGCUGGGGCUGAGCAGGGCUAAGAAGAGCUUAUGUCCUUUCUGAACCAUGCCAAGGAUGCCAUUCCCUUGGUGCUGAAAUCCAAGGAGCCAAAGAUAAUUUUCCAAAAGACUGUAUUUUCUAAGGGCAGAAGGUGAGGGAACAAAUGAUGGUCCAUCUCCCUGAGGGUUUUGAAGAUUAUUAGAUUACCAUACAUUCUGACAUGAUGUAGUAUUUGGACUAAAGAGUAGAAGCCUGAAUCAAAAGCAAUUUUGUUGAGUUUGGAUGUUGGGGAAGCUAUUUCUCUUCUCCCAACCAGACUAUUUUCUUCUUGUAUUGAUUCAUUACAUCUCCAAGCCCUAACACUUUUACCAUAUGACUUCUAUUACUCUCUUUUUCUACCCAAAUCCCCUUAUUGGGAUCAACUGUUGGUCAAACAAGUCCAAGUACCAUGACAGGGACAAUCUCAGGCUGUGACCCCAAGCCAGUACUGGUCCUUUUCCCCAACAGCAUUCUUUUCUCCUCUGCUCUCACUCUCUCAUGGCAUUUGGCGUCAAAUGAACCCACGUAAGCUUCUGCCCCCCUUUUACUAAUACUGGGGGCUUAGGUAAGUAUGACUCUCAGAGCUUGUUUUCUCAUAUGUGAAAGAAAAUCCUCCAGUGAGGAUUAAAUGAUGUGGUCAAUGAGGUUAAUGAGAGAAUCAGAGUAGGACUCUCUGAAUCACACAAGCCCUUUAAAAGCAGAGCGUUUUCUCUGGCCUCAAGUGGCAUGUCAGCCUGCGAGCUCCAAGGGGCUCAUUUCAUUAAACUUCAACACAAAGCUUCACAGAAAAGGCUCAAGACAGGCCCCCCACUCCCUGUAAGGGAGUCAGCCAAGACCACUGGAUAGCCCUCUUUCCAAAUAAGUAAAAAUAUGGAACACGGUGGCAUACGUUUGUUUAAAAUCUGACCCUUUUUAAAAAAAGAUUGCCAUUGUUUUCUUAAAUUCACUUUCCUUCCUUUGCUUCCUGUACCUAAAGAAAGUUCACACUCGCAUACUCAAAACACAUCACUACACGGAAUGUGCAUGAGGUCAUCCCACGAGGACCUCUUGUGCAGGGGAAUUCCAAGUCACAGGCCAGGUCUCCACUAGAAGCCAUUGCCAAUCUUAACCACUGUCCAGCCCGCUAACAGGGAGACCAACCCCACCGUCUUCAGCAUGUGCACUGAAUGAUGGAGGAAGCUGUGCUGGCAGAGAAGGAAGAAAAAGAGAAGAACAGAAGGAUCUGUCCACUGACGAGUCUUCCAGACAGUGAUUUCAAUGGUUCUGAAUUGUCUGAGAUAACAUUCGUCCUAUGUGUUUAUCUUUCCCUUACAGAUUUUUAAAUUCUAGUGAAUAAAUGGCUUUUAAAUGGUUUUCUGUAAAGAUAAACAAUUAACCUCCAGAAAGAGGAAAAGGCAUUAAUGAAUGCAAAUAACUAUAUUCCAUUUAUAAUUUUGGAUUGGAAGAAAGGCCAAGGAUACUUGUAUUUUUUUGUGUACUCAUAUCCCUUCCACUUAACAACAAAUUCUUCAACAUCUUUUUCCAUUUUCUCCUGCUACCUACUCAUAUUUGUGUUCAAAUGUCAUCUUUUUGGUGUAGAUGUUCUCUCCACUCCUCUCCCUCCCAAUAAGAAUCAGCUAUUCUCCAUUGAUGGCUUCAUUUACCACAGCUACAACAUUAUCCUCUAGUUAUCUCUGUAAAUCUGUAAAUCUGGAGUCACUCAAGUAGUUCAUAAAGACCUGUAAUGUUAAUAUCACAGGAUGGCUACUGGUCCUGGAAAGAAGAAAAAAUUAACAUUUGAAAAUUACAUGACAGAGAAAUUCUAGAUGCUGGGAGAGUGAGCUGGUCAUGGUAUAGCUUGAUCAAGGCAGUAUAUUGAAUGAAUCUUUCUCAAAAGAACAUAUCAAGUUAUUGGAAAGCAAGAAGCAGAUGAUCUGUUGGAUUCUAAGGAUGUGUGUAGGCUCCUCAGGUGGAUAAGUCACAUUCAUUCCUGCAUCACACGGGCCAGGGCUAACCGAACACUAACUUCUCAGUCUGGCACACUUCGUGGAUGUUUGCAUGGUCCCUUCCAUGAAAGCAAAGCUACAGCCAGAAGGGGAAAAUUGCAAUUCCAAGAAGGAAUUUUCCUGAGAAGGAACUUGAUAGAGAAGUAGUUUCUCUGGGGCUGACUUUAAAAAUCUGCACCACAGUGGUCUCUUCACCCAUCUGACAUUUAGCAAGCACCUACUGUAUGUUAGGGCAAUGCUAGGUUCUGGGAAUAGAGUGCAAAUUUCCCAAUUCUUGGUGCCUACACUCUUCUAAAGGAAGAAAUUGUGGUGCCUACAAUAUUCUAAAGAAGGUCUUAUUGAAAAAAGCUUUUUUUACAUCCAAGGAGGAAAGAACAAAGAAAACAAGUGAAACAUGAGAGAGAGAGAACCUCUGUGGGAAGUCUGAGUGUUCAUCAAAGGUAAAAGCAAAAGCCAGUCCUC